rnacentral:rRNA from 1 species
AACAGGAUUAGAUACCCUGGUAGUCCACGCUGUAAACGAUGUCGACUUGGAGGUUGUGCCCUUGAGGCGUGGCUUCCGGAGCUAACGCGUUAAGUCGACCGCCUGGGGAGUACGGCCGCAAGGUUAAAACUCAAAUGAAUUGACGGGGGCCCGCACAAGCGGUGGAGCAUGUGGUUUAAUUCGAUGCAACGCGAAGAACCUUACCUACUCUUGACAUCCAGAGAAUUUGCUAGAGAUAGCUUAGUGCCUUCGGGAACUCUGAGACAGGUGCUGCAUGGCUGUCGUCAGCUCGUGUUGUGAAAUGUUGGGUUAAGUCCCGCAACGAGCGCAACCCUUAUCCUUUGUUGCCAGCACGUAAUGGGGGGAACUCAAAGGAGACUGCCGGUGAUAAACCGGAGGAAGGUGGAGAUGACGUCAAGUCAUCAUGGCCCUUACGAGUAGGGCUACACACGUGCUACAAUGGCAUAUACAAAGAGAAGCGAACUCGCGAGAGCAAGCGGACCUCAUAAAGUAUGUCGUAGUCCGGAUUGGAGUCUGCAACUCGACUCCAUGAAGUCGGAAUCGCUAGUAAUCGUAGAUCAGAAUGCUACGGUGAAUACGUUCCCGGGCCUUGUACACACCGCCCGUCACACCAUGGGAGUGGGUUGCAAAAGAAGUAGGUAGCUUAACCUUCGGGAGGGCGCUUACCACUUUGUGAUUCAUGACUGGGGUGAAGUCGUAACAAGGUAACC